rnacentral:piRNA from 1 species
UGAGGUGUAAGCACUGUAUCAAGACAGGU